CUGGGCGGUCAGCUGACCCGGCGGAAGCCCCAGGCGCUGGCCGGGCGCGGGGAACUCCGCUCAGCUGAGCGCCGCCGCCCUCCGCUCGGACGGGCCCCUAGCAGCUGCUUUUAUAUCAUCUUCUCCUACUACCAAAUGGGAAAACUGAGGUCCAGAGAGGAGAAGAGACUUGCCCAGUGUCACCAGCAAACAAGCAGCUGACCCCAGGCCAGGCAAGAAAGCAAGACUCUUCCUAAGUCCCACUAAAAACAGGAUGAGGCGGCUACAGGAUCCCCUGAAAGAUACCAUUUCACGUCUAAUCACUUCUUGUCACGUUGUAACCAUUUUCCUCAUAUGGAGCCCCACGCUGAUGGAUCAGAAAUAACAUUUUCAAAGUUAUAUCUGCAAGGAAAUGGCUAUUAAUGUUCUUCCUCUCCUUUUAGAGCACCGAGGAAUACAUAUUAAUUUUCUCCCUACUUAUAUUGCCUAUUUGCAAAUUGUAUUCACUACCCAGCGUUCCAAUUUGUCCUACCCCUGAAGAGAUGAUGAUGAAUCAAUGUGUUCCUGGAAAUAAAGUAAAAUACAAAAUUU